GGGCCCGCACAAGCAGCGGAGCAUGUGGUUUAAUUCGAAGCAACGCGAAGAACCUUACCAGGUCUUGACAUCUACUGACAAGCCUAGAGAUAGGCCUUUCCCUUCGGGGACAGUAAGACAGGUGGUGCAUGGUUGUCGUCAGCUCGUGUCGUGAGAUGUUGGGUUAAGUCCCGCAACGAGCGCAACCCCUAUGUUUAGUUACUAACAGUAAGAUGAGGACUCUAGACAGACUGCCCGUGAAAGCGGGAGGAAGGUGGGGAUGACGUCAAAUCAUCAUGCCCCUUAUGACCUGGGCUACACACGUGCUACAAUGGUCUGUACAAAGAGCAGCAAGACAGUGAUGUGGAGCAAAUCUACAAAAAACAGAACCUCAGUUCGGAUUGCAGGCUGCAACUCGCCUGCAUGAAGUCGGAGUUGCUAGUAAUCGCGAAUCAGAAUGUCG
rnacentral:rRNA from 1 species